CCUAAAUUAGCCAUUUUGAAACUUGCUGCUGUUGCUGAAAUUGUUUGUUGGUGAAUCUCUUUCUCUUCUAUUUGGAAACCAUUCUCAACUUCCUUUACUUGUUCCUGGAAAACUGACAUUCUUGCUAAACUGUUGAAACCAGUGUGAGUUCUGGCCACAAGGGGAGGUAUAUAAGGAUAUUGCAGACAAAACAGUGGUCACACCAGCUGCUUCAGAAGAAGAUUAAGAAACCCAGCAGGUAUGGACUAUUCUUCCUCCAGAAGAAGUUUCCUGAAUACACCCAAUAGGGGGAGAUUGAUCAGGUGGUGUGUCAAGCUGAGCCUGGAUACUUUUGAGAGACAUGAAUUGUUACUUUCCUAGAGGGGAUUUGCUGAGGAAUAAAGAGAAGAGGAUCCAUAGUAAUACUCUGUUGCCAUUAUUGCUAUCAUCUGUUGUGUGUGACUGCUGUCUUUAAUUCUUCAUCAUCUUGUGUCUUGGAGAUAUCACAUCCUUUCCUGAACAUCUCUUGAAUGAUAGACCUGAAGGACCAAGCAGAUUGCUCCUCUCCCUCAACCACAGAGAA